rnacentral:rRNA from 1 species
AAUGAUUUUAUUUAAUAGCCGCAGUAUUUUGACUGUGCAAAGGUAGCAUAAUAAAUUGUCUUUUAAUUGGAGGCUGGAAUGAAUGAUGGGAUGUGAUGAAUGCUGUCUUUAUGAUAAUUGAUUGAAAUUUACUUUUUGAUGAAAAGGUUAAGAUUUAAUUGGUAGACGAGAAGACCCUAUCAAGCUUUAUUUUGGUGAUAGUUUUAUUUUGUUAAUUUGGUUGAAUGGACUUUCAUUUAAAUUUUGUUGGGGCAAUGCUUGAAUAUAUAUUAAUUUUUUGUAUUAUAGUUAGAGUUUGAUCCAUUAUUAGUGAUUUAAUGAAUAAGUUACUGUAGGGAUAACAGCGUAAUUAGUUUGGAGAGUUCAUAUUGGUAAACUGGAUUGCGACCUCGAUGUUGGUUUAGUGAUUCUUUGGGGUGUAGCAGCUUUAUAARAG